rnacentral:rRNA from 1 species
GCUCAUUAAAUCAGUUAUCGUUUAUUUGAUAGUACCUUCUACUUGGAUACCUGUGGUAAUUCUAGAGCUAAUACAUGCUAAAAACCCCGACUUCGGGAGGGGUGUAUUUAUUAGAUAAAAAACCAAUGCCCUCCGGGGCUCCUUGGUGAUUCAUAAUAACUUAACGAAUCGCAUGGCCUUGCGCCGGCGAUGGUUCAUUCAAAUUUCUGCCCUAUCAACUUUCGAUGGUAGGAUAGUGGCCUACCAUGGUUUCUACGGGUAACGGGGAAUUAGGGUUCGAUUCCGGAGAGGGAGCCUGAGAAACGGCUACCACAUCCAAGGAAGGCAGCAGGCGCGCAAAUUACCCAAUCCCGACACGGGGAGGUAGUGACAAUAAAUACUGAUGCAGAGCUCUUUCGGGCUUUGCAAUCGGAAUGAGAACAGUGUAAACACCUUAACGAGGAACAAUUGGAGGGCAAGUCUGGUGCCAGCAGCCGCGGUAAUUCCAGCUCCAAUAGCGUAUAUUAAAGUUGUUGCAGUUAAAAAGCUCGUAGUUGAAACUUGGGCCUGGCUGGCCGGUCCGCCUAACCGCGUGCACUGGUCCGGCCGGGCCUUUCCUUCUGGGGAACCGCAUGCCCUUCAUUGGGUGUGCCGGGGAACCAGGACUUUUACUUUGAAAAAAUUAGAGUGUUCAAAGCAGGCCUUUGCUCGGAUACAUUAGCAUGGAAUAAUGGAAUAGGACGCGCGGUUCUAUUUUGUUGGUUUCUAGGACCGCCGUAUGU